GGACUCUUCACGCUUGGCUUAUGCUACACUAAUACAUACACGUUUGGUACUACCAAGGACUAAAGAGCAUAAUAAUCACAAUAAUCACAUCCCAUGUUUGGUGAUGUACUGGGCUAUUGAAUAAUACUAUAUUUUUUCUAUUUUCGCAAACUAUUAUCCAAUAAUAAGAGAUUUGAAAACUUCACAUUUUUGUCCAACUUCAAUAAUAGUUCAUAAAUUACUUGACAGCCAACUCUAUCUAGUCCUGUUUUACAGGUACAAAUGACGUUUCCAUUAUAAAUAUUGUCCACCAGCAACAAGACAUGAUACAAUUCAUUUUUACAGGGAAUAAUUAAUCUUCAACGCAUCUCCUUAACCUACAGACAAAUCAGAUCUCAGCAUUAUACUGAUUUUAGAUGCAGUAUUGCUAAAAUCAAAUGGACAGUACAAACUUUCACCCAAAUAUUUACCAUAACAACCUAAUGCAACAUCCACUGUCACAUCCCGGUUCUUAAGUCAAUUUGCGGUUAUUUACUUUUGGGUUACUUUGACAUUUUACCGUUUUAAGUAGCCGUUUACUAUUUAAGACUCUAAAAGUUGACCUUUUCUUCCGUUUGGAAUUUGGGAAAACUUUCUUCAUGAAAGUCGUAGAGGAUGUUAAACGGAGUUCGUGGACACACGGCACGCUUAAAACGGAGUUCGUAUGAAGAAGUUAUGGUCUAAUAACGAAAGUUACUUUGGAUGGUAAAAAGGGGGUAAAUUUUUGUAGGCUUUAUUUUGUUGGGUUAAGUUGGACCGGGUGUGAGAGAAGCUCAUUUCCUUCUCUGCCUUUGUUUCUCUCUCUCCUCUCUCCCGCGUCUCUCCCGACCCGCUGGAUUCCCGGCCUCCGUCCGUCGCCGUCCUGCCGCCACAGACCGCCGCGCUGGUCCCGUUAUACUCAGCAUCUGCUCUACUAUAAUUCUGGGCAGGUGGAUGGCUUUGCCUUGCCGCCGUGAAGUAGAAAACCCGACUAGAAGCCGACUGGGCAGCGGGGGGAGUUUCUGCCGGAAUCUCCCUCCUCCGGCCACUAUAGCUGGAGACGUUUGGCUCAACUUGACGGCCUUUCUUGGUGCAUCAAUCCCCUAGAAGGUAACUAUCAAAUUCGAAGUGUGUAAGAGGAUUUUCGGGCUAGGGUUUGAAUUUGGGGAUUUAUGGAUGUUUUGAUUCGAUUACCCUAGUUAGCCUUAGAAUUGGAUUAAGUGCUGGUUAUGAAAGUUGUUGUGCAUGAUGAGAGGAUUAUUCUGCUAAAAUUUGAGAAGCUUUGGUUAUAUGAUUCUGUAUUUAUGCCAUACUUGUCGGAUAAUAUAUUACUAAUGCUAGCAUGUUGUUCCGCCUUUCGAGGCGAUGUAACUUCCACGUUUUAAGUGGGGUUACUCAAGCCCUUUCCGCCUUCGGGUGAUGUGAUGUAGUCGACGACAUCACGCAAGUCCUACAUCCUCUCUGUUAUCAUAACAUGAAGGUGUAGGGAGUAUGGGAGUACUAUUGCCUGUGAGGCAACCGAGUCUGGGAGGCUCACUUGUAUGGCUAUAUUUGUUUCUUAUUUAUUGUUGUCGUUUUGACUAGCGGGGCUAGUCCCUUGUUUUGGUACCUUCUUCUAUGAAGGUUAUUAUUUAUAUUUGUCAUUAAUUUGACUAGCGGGGCUAGUCCGUUUCCUUGGGAUUUUCUUUAUGAAAGUUUUAUCUAACACUUGCAUACGACAGAUUUCUUGAUUAUUGGAAAAUGGGAAAGUAAUUAAGUUUAGUUAGUUAUGUCGUGAUCGGUUACUUGAUUAUUUU
rnacentral:lncRNA from 1 species